rnacentral:rRNA from 1 species
GACGAACCGUCCAAACGUUAUUCGGAAUCACUGGGCUUAAAGGGUGCGUAGGCGGCGUUGCAAGUCGGGUGUGAAAUCCCACGGCUCAACCGUGGAACUGCGCUAGAUACUGCAGCGCUUGAGGGAGACAGAGGUAGGCGGAACUGCGGGUGGAGCGGUGAAAUGCGUUGAUAUUCGCAGGAACACCGGUGGCGAAAGCGGCCUACUGGGUCUCUACUGACGCUAAAGCACGAAAGCCAGGGGAGCGAACGGG